CUGGCGGCAUGCCUACCAUGCAAGUCGAACGAGGCCUUUCGGGGCCUAGUGGCGCACGGGUGCGUAACGCGUGGGAAUCUGCCCUUAGGUUCGGAAUAACCAUUGGAAACGAUGGCUAAUACCGGAUGAUGACGUAAGUCCAAAGAUUUAUCGCCUGAGGAUGAGCCCGCGUAGGAUUAGCUAGUUGGUGUGGUAAAGGCGCACCGAGGCGACGAUCCUUAGCUGGUCUGAGAGGAUGAUCAGCCACACUGGGACUGAGACACGGCCCAGACUCCUACGGGAGGCAGCAGUGGGGAAUAUUGGACAAUGGGCGAAAGCCUGAUCCAGCAAUGCCGCGUGAGUGAUGAAGGCCUUAGGGUUGUAAAGCUCUUUUACCCGGGAUGAUAAUGACAGUACCGGGAGAAUAAGCUCCGGCUAACUCCGUGCCAGCAGCCGCGGUAAU
rnacentral:rRNA from 1 species